UAUUACCGGUCAAUCGAUGAACGAUACUCGAAGAGUCCUGGAUUGUCAACCCAGUCUCUCAUUAAACAGCAGAUUCCGCGAAAGUGACACGAGAACAGCAGCCACCUCAUGAGCACGUUUUACCAGAUCAUCCACAUGCUUGGGCACGGCAUCAAACCUGUCUACGCGUUUGAUGGCAAGCCCCCACAGCUGAAGUCACAAGAGCUGGAGAAGGAGGGCAGAGGCUGAGAAACUGCUGGCCCAGGUGCAGGAAACAGGGGAGCAGGAGAACAUUGACAAGUUCAGUAAGCGUCUGGUGAAAGUUACCCGGCAGCACAACGACGAGUGCAAGAAGCUGCUCACCCUAAUGGGGGUGCCAUACAUCAAGGCUCCAUGUGAGGCAGAGGUGAGCUGCGCUGCUCUGGUUAAGGUGGGGAAGGUAGUCGCCACGGCAACAGAAGAUACGGACAGCCUGACAUUUGGAGCAGGGGUCCUACUGAGGCACCUCACCACCAGCAAAGUGCUACUGUAGUUUCUAUACCACCUUACCCAUCUUUCAUCCCAGUCAUACAGUUUAUCUAACAGUAUUAUAACAAUAGAAGCUGUGUGUGUUGGAUAUUUGUUUUUGAGGUUACUUAUAACAUUUCUGUUUCUCUAUCUUAGGAAGCUUCCUAUCCUUCUGUGAGUUCACCUGUGUUGUGACUGUCAAACUUUGUAAGAGUUUGUAAUCCCAA